UUUUAUGUUUUCCAGGUGCAAUUCAAGUUGAAUUUAUAAAAUAGACUUAAGUGCGUAUUCAAAUCUAAGGAAAUAAAUGUGGCGAACAACUCAACCAGUAUAGAAAAGGUUAAAAUUGCGUAUUAGUUCAAAUGGCAUCAUUGCAAUUAGAAGUGAGGAAGCAGCAAACUCAUUACUUUCCUUUUCUCUUCCCUUGUACAAUAGGAGAACAUCUAGUUGCAAGUAUUUGGGGUGCUCCAUUGGAAAUUCCAGUAUAACCUAGGAGUUAUUUGGUCUCUAUAUAUGUUUGUCUUUUUUCCUCUUUCCAUUUUUCUUGUGUUGGCUGCGGUUUGGUUUUUACACUAGCUAAAUUCAGGACUAUGUAGGGACGAGGGGUUUCAUCUGGACACUCUUCGGUGGAAAUUUACUUUAUGUAUAUAUAGUGGAUAUUGACCUCCCUUUAGAUUCUUCAUGUGUUUACUUCUUCGUAUUUUAAACUCCAUUAACAACACUAAUUUGUGUCAAAAUGAUGGAAAGGUUAGAUCUAAUUUCGAAAUUGACAGUCCCAAUUUUGGAUCACAUUUUGUCUUUCCUUCCAGUUAAAGAUGCUGCUAGAACCAGUGUAUAGUCCAAGCAAUGGAACAAAUUCUGGCAAAACGGCAAAACCAGAAUAUUUCUAUACAGAGGUUCAAGAUGAUAGAUUUAAGAAAGUAUGUGAAUGUAGAUAGUUGGUUUAAAAUACUGGUAGCCUAUGAUAUUUACGUGCCGGCUAAUUACGACAUAUUUUACACUUUUAACUAAAGAUAAUUUUAAGUUUUCAAGCAAUCGUUGAUAUUUUUAGCGUGUUUGGUGUUGACUUUCAGGAUAUAAGUCCAAUGACAGAAAAGUGGGAAAAUUAUAUUGAAAUGAGUGUGACGGCUCUUCUAAACUGCCAAUGCUAAAACAGACUGAGUAACUUUUGACCCAUUGAUGAUGGAUCUAGCGACGACAACCUGCCAAGAGCCUAACGAAUCAUCAGACAAACCGGUAGUGCUAAGCAGAAUCUAUGUUCAAGGGGAAGCGGGUGACAAGUCAAGCGACGAACUGUCUCGUGUGCGACGAGCCGUCAGUCGAGUCAUUAGAGAGGAAGCGGAAGCCCAGAUUCGAAAUUUAUUUCCCACAUCCUUGGAGCCUAUAAAUGGCUAGUCUAGGGUUUAGAACAGGCAUCUUUUCACGCUUUAAAUAUUUUUUGUAAUGUACUUUCUCUGGGGAAUCGUUUUUUUUAGGGUGAAAAACACAUCUUCUUGAUUUUUUUCAAGGAUUGGAG
rnacentral:lncRNA from 1 species